rnacentral:lncRNA from 1 species
AUUGAAUUCAAUUAACUUCAUCAUCAUGAUUUUAAUGUUGUGAUUAAAGUUUUGAUUUUUCCAUUAUUUGAAUGUAAAAAAUAAAAUAAAAAAAUGAAAUUCAGGUGGAAAUGGUAAACUGGGUAGAAGGGUGAGUAAAUACAGCACUUCUGCUGCUGCUACCAUUGAAGAACCAAUUAAACCUUCAGUUGAAGUACAACACACCCAACUCUUAAUCAAUGGAAAAUUCAUUGACGCUGCUUCUGGUGAGUUUUCCCUUCACCAUUUCCACAUAAAGUUUACAUUUUUAGUUCAAAAAAAUGAAGUUUUUGUGGUAUCUUACUGUUGUUGGUAUUCCUAUGUCAUUAGGUAAGACAUUUCCAACAUUGGAUCCAAGAACAGGAGAAGUUAUUGCUCAAGUUUCUGAAGGUAACGGUGAAGAUGUUGAUAGAGCAGUUGCAGCUGCUAGAAAAGCAUUUGAUGAAGGACCAUGGCCUAGGAUGACAGCAUAUGUAUAUAAUCUAUUUUGAUGCCAUUAAGAAAGCCUUGUUCUUUUGUCUAUUGGUUAUUCUGUUAAUUCACUAUCUUUGUAUGUUACUAUGGUUUUAUAGGAAAGACAAAAGAUAAUGUUGCGUGCUGCUGAUUUAAUUGAAAAGCAUAAUGAUGAGAUUGCAGCACUUGAGACUUGGGAUAAUGGGAAACCAUAUGAACAAUCUGCUAAGGUUGAAGUACCCAUGUUGGUUCGCCAAAUUCGAUACUAUGCUGGUAUGUGAUUUAGUGUGGAGCUUUGUUUUUUCUCCUAUUUGUUUUGUGAAAAAAGUAGUAACGUUUUUAUUUCGAUAUUCUCAGGGUGGGCAGAUAAGCUUCAAGGUCACACAAUUCCAGCUGAUGGAGCACUUCAUGUGCAAACAUUGCAUGAACCAAUUGGCGUUGUUGGUCAGAUUAUUCCAUGGAACUUUCCUCUUCUCAUGUUUGCUUGGAAGGUUGGACCAGCAUUGGCAUGUGGCAACACUAUUGUUCUUAAAACAGCUGAGCAGACACCAUUAUCUGCUUUAUAUGUAGCAAAUCUAUUUCUUGAGGUGGGUGAUAUACGUAAUUACUUUUCGUAAGUUUGGUGGAAUUUUGCGCAUACAAACAUGCUUAAUUACGGCUAUAUGUCUAAUCAGUGCAAUUUUACGCUUCUCUUUGUUUGGAGAUUUAUUUGAAUCUUAAUUUCAGAAAUUUAUGAUCUGUGUGGCAGGCUGGACUCCCUGCUGGUGUUUUAAAUAUCGUAUCAGGCUUUGGCCCAACUGUUGGUGCUGCUCUUGCUAGUCACAUGCAUGUGGAUAAGGUACUAAAAUAUGUAAAUCCUUUUUAUUGAAUUAUUCUUAUAUAUAUAUAUAUAUUAUUUCUUUUCCGAAAGAUGAGGAAGUUGGGAUAUAUGAAAAGUUUAAAACUUUUCCAAUUUGCAGUGAGAAAAAAUUAAUCUUUCUCUGUUUGGCCCCUCCCAACUACUUUACCAGAUUCAUUAAACUUGUCCCUGUACUUUGGGAGAGCAGAGUACAUUAUAUCAAUCACUUCUUAAUGAAAUAAAACACAUUCUUAGUAUGUUUUGUAGUGUGUCAUUCUUAUUUUUCGAUUUUUGUUUUAUAGAAAAAAUGUAGAUAUUAUAGAACCAAAAGAAUAAGGAGAAUUUUUGCUAUCAUGAAAAUAAAAUAUAUGUUAUUUGAUGUUAGAUAUAUAUUUAGUGUACUUACCAACACAAUUGAAUUCAAUUAACUUCAUCAUCAUGAUUUUAAUGUUGUGAUUAAAGUUUUGAUUUUUCCAUUAUUUGAAUGUAAAAAAUAAAAUAAAAAAAUGAAAUUCAGGUGGAAAUGGUAAACUGGGUAGAAGGGUGAGUAAAUACAGCACUUCUGCUGCUGCUACCAUUGAAGAACCAAUUAAACCUUCAGUUGAAGUACAACACACCCAACUCUUAAUCAAUGGAAAAUUCAUUGACGCUGCUUCUGG